rnacentral:rRNA from 1 species
GAUCAUGGCUCAGGAUGAACGCUAGCUACAGGCUUAACACAUGCAAGUCGAGGGGCAGCAUGGUCUUAGCUUGCUAAGGCUGAUGGCGACCGGCGCACGGGUGAGUAACACGUAUCCAACCUGCCGUCUACUCUUGGCCAGCCUUCUGAAAGGAAGAUUAAUCCAGGAUGGCAUCAUGAGUUCACAUGUCCGCAUGAAUUAAGGUUAUUUUCCGGAGACGUAGG